UACGUAGGGUGCGAGCGUUGUCCGGAAUUACUGGGCGUAAAGGGCGCGUAGGCGGUUGCUCAAGUCAGGCGUGAAAGCCCCGGGCUCAACCUGGGAAUAGCGCUUGAGACUGGGCGGCUUGAGUUCGGGAGAGGUGAGUGGAAUUCCCAGUGUAGAGGUGAAAUUCGUAGAUAUUGGGAAGAACACCAGUGGCGAAGGCGGCUCACUGGACCGACACUGACGCUGAGGCGCGAAAGCGUGGGGAGCAAACAGG
rnacentral:rRNA from 1 species